UGAGAACCCUCUUCUUUUCUUCAUGUCUUGUACUGUCCAUCACGCUUAAAGGGUUGGAUGUGUUUUGUUUGAAAAUGAAAGAAUGACUAACAAAAUGUAUAUCAUUGAGACUCACACAGUGCAUACUAAAUAGUUACAUCAAGUGACGCCUGUCACAAGAGCACGACAUUUCAACCUGUUAGUACUGUAUAGGAGUCUACCAUGAGGAGGAUGUGGGGCUCUCCCCAUGAUAGGCCUGGGCACACCAUCAGGGCUGGCAGUCAGGACUGUGAAUGUGCCAGCUAUGUCUUAUGCACGUGUAAGUGUAUUGAAGUAUCUACAGUGUGGAUUCUGUGCUGUGCUUCAAAAACUCCUACUUUAAAAUGGAUGAGGUUUCUCCUUCCUUCCUUUGAAAGUUAGGUUGCUCUAUCAGCAGACUAGUUUUAAUUAAAUUUAGUUGGAUACUAACUGUUGUUUACUUUGAUUGGGCUUGUGAUGCUCGCAUCAGACUGCAGUGCAUGCUAAUGUCUGCCUCUUCGUUACAGGAUCUGAAGAACACAUUCCGCGUCAUGUCUGAGAAAAAAAAUGAGUCCUAGCCGCAAGCAUCAUCUGAAGAGCUUGGUGCUGCAGAUUGCAGCUAAUCAGAUCGAAGCAGAGAAACAGGAGGUGAUUCAGGAGAAAAGCCAAAUUCCUGGCUGAGCUCCCUGCUCUGGAUUCUGUCUGGAGAUCAAGCAGCCCUGGUGG